rnacentral:snoRNA from 1 species
UUGUCCUGGCCUAUCCUUUGCUCACCUGUGCUCAGUAUAACAGGGGAGUCUGGCAGGACACACAGCAACCUCCCUCUCACUUUAGGAGGGCCGUCCUGAGUAUAGGGCUGGCUCUUAAAGGCACGAGAGGACAAU